UACGAAGGGGGCUAGCGUUGUUCGGAAUCACUGGGCGUAAAGGGCGCGUAGGCGGCUUUUCAAGUCGGGGGUGAAAGCCUGUGGCUCAACCACAGAAUUGCCUUCGAUACUGUUAGGCUUGAGACCGGAAGAGGUGAGUGGAACUGCGAGUGUAGAGGUGAAAUUCGUAGAUAUUCGCAAGAACACCAGUGGCGAAGGCGGCUCACUGGCCCGAUACUGACGCUGAGGCACGAAAGCGUGGGGAGCAAACAGGG
rnacentral:rRNA from 1 species